UUGCCAAACAAACUCCAUCUCGAACCAAGAAAAAUCGAGAUUCGGUCACGCGUUUUCAAGCUGUCUUAGUUUCCUAUUUUGAGUUCAAUCAUCGGCCUAAAUUAGACGAGAUUCCUAAGCGAUAAACUGCGUCUGGAGACCUAUAAGUAGAGGUGGUGCUUACUCGUUACGAACACGCCUCUCACCUUUCUGUUCCUCACCCCAAAUCGGCCCCUUUUGUCAAGUUCCGCCGCCGCCGCAAGUACUCCGACGAAACCAGUAACCAUCGAACUGAUUGAGGAUUUGCAACAUUUAUUCCUCUCGUGCGGGUUACUUACGGCCUUCCUAUCGCAAUUAAGGUACGGACUCUAAGCAACUUAUGUGUUACAAGAAAAUCAAGGAAGACUUGGAAAAGGGCUAGGGAGAAUAAA
rnacentral:lncRNA from 1 species